UGCCACUGGUCCGGCCGGGCCUUUCCCUCUGUGGAACCGCAUGCCCUUCACUGGGUGUGCCGGGGAAACAGGACUUUUACUUUGAAAAAAUUAGAGUGCUCCAGGCAGGCCUAUGCUCGAAUACAUUAGCAUGGAAUAAUAGAAUAGGACGUGUGGUUCUAUUUUGUUGGUUUCUAGGACCGCCGUAAUGAUUAAUAGGGACAGUCGGGGGCAUCAGUAUUCAAUUGUCAGAGGUGAAAUUCUUGGAUUUAUUGAAGACUAACUACUGCGAAAGCAUUUGCCAAGGAUGUUUUCAUUUAUCAGGAACGAAAGUUAGGGGAUCGAAGACGAUCAGAUACCGUCGUAGUCUUAACCAUAAACUAUGCCGACUAGGGAUCGGACGAUGUUAUUUUUUGACUCGUUCGGCACCUUACGAGAAAUCAAAGUGCUUGGGCUCCAGGGGGAGUAUGGUCGCAAGGCUGAAACUUAAAGAAAUUGACGGAAGGGCACCACCAGGGGUGGAGCCUGCGGCUUAAUUUGACUCAACACGGCU
rnacentral:rRNA from 1 species